rnacentral:lncRNA from 1 species
UCUGCUUCUAUCUUAUAUAUUUUUUUAGGUGGAGUCUCACGCUGUCAUUCAGGCUGGAGGGCAGUGGUGCAAUCUCAGCUCACUGUAACUCUGCCUCCCAGGUUCAAACUAUUCUCCUGCUUCAACCUCCCAAGUAGUUGGGAUUACAGGCAUGCACCACCACACUUGGCUAAUCUUUGUCUUUUUAGUAGAGACCAGAUUUCACUAUGUUGGCCAGGCUGGUCUUGAACUCCUGACCUCAAGUGACCACCUGCCUCGACCCCCAAAGUGCUGAGAUUACAGAGGUGAGCCACCGUGUCCAGCAUCUCUGCUUCUAAUACUCAGCUUUUCUCCUCCAUUGAUGAACAUCGCUUCCCAAGAAGAGAUCAGUGGAAAUUUCCUAUAGCCACUGUGUUUAUGAGUGGUGCAUGCAUGUGAUUGGACACACAUUGGCCCACUUUUUCUCUCUUUCUUUUAUCUUUCCUCUCAUUUUUCUUUUACUCAUACCCAUCCCAUCUCUUCAUCCAAGCAGAGGCCUUGCAACAACCUGUGAGAUGUGUGCUGACUGCCCACAUUUGCCAGAUGAGAAGCUGAGGAUUGGAGAUGUCCAGGAACCUGUCCAGCAUGACACAGUCCUGAGCCUCUUUCUCAAUCUGUUCUCACCGAGCCUUGGGUUUUACCAUCUGUUUUUGGGUUUCCAAACUCACCUCAUCUUGGGUUAAUGUUCCUGCUACUCUGACGCCUACCUAAGUGGUUGAUGCUCCUUCCUGGUUCUUCUAGGCAUCCUGGGAAGUGGCCACUCACCUCCAAAGGACAAGGUAAGGAAGAAAACAUAGAAUCAUAGCUCUGGGCUGGGUUUUCAUUGCUCACCUAUAAAACACGGAAGAUAGAUGUUUAACCUUAAUAGUAGUGGUUAAGCUAGACUCAGUCACUAAAGAAAAUUCACUGGACCCAAAAUGAUCAUGCUUACAAAACUAGGAUCAAUUACAGGAAAAGAAUACAAGUAGCAGCAGCGUUAGGGUAAGGACAUGCCUUGUAGCCAGGGGGCUGGAGAGGCCAGGUACAAGCUCCUGUCAUCACAUGGAAUACCUUGGAACUGGGGUAGACUCUCAGCGUAGGCAUGCUCGUAUUUUGCUGGUCACAUAGGCAGGUACCUGCUACAUAACCAGCUUAAACACUGCCUUUCAAGGGUCUCACGAAGAACAAGUGCAAACCAUCAAUCUCACUGUUGUCCGAAACAAUGCUGACAAGCUGGUCCAAGCUGCCCCCAAACUCCUCUGACCCCUGAUUACGGAGCAACACUAUGAUCCAGCAUGUUCCUUGACCUGACCAGGGGUCAGUGCUAUGUAGGAAAACACCUGCGUGUCAGUGCUAUGUAAACGAAGCAGCUCAUGGCACCAUCCACAUCCCGUG